CGGCAAAGCAAAAUUCAAAUUUUUUUAAUUUUUAUUACUCAUAAUAGUGAAUAUUGAUUAUUUUUUUCAAUAAAAUGUUAAAAAAUUUGGUAUAAUUCUUAUAAAAAAUGAAAUGAUGUUUUUUCUUAUGGGAUAAUAUUUUCUAAAAUAUAAAAGUCGAUAAAUAUCUGUUUAUCACAUAAAAAUUAUCGUUAACUUGUAGAUUUAUGAAAUAUGUGUACUGGUACACCUUAAUUGAAGGGUGUACCGUAGAAACUCCCAAAUCAGAAACCUAAGAGGCAUAAACCGAACUCAUUGAAAAUGAAAAUUACAUACUAUUAUAAAGAUCUCCCUUGGAUUAGAUAUUAUGAACAAUUGUGUUCUCUGAUUUUUCUUGGAAAUAUUUUUUGAACUUGAAGAGAACUUGAAUAAAACCUUGGCUAUGAUGCUAUAUUUGUUGUUAUGAGAUAGUUGAUUCAAAUGAGUUGAACCCAAAAAACUAGUUAAUAGAAUUUUUAAAACCUUGGCUCCUCUGUGUUUGGGUUGUGUGGAAUGAGCGCAAUAGUCGCUUGUUUAAAAAUGUAAUCACUCCCAUUCCUUAUUUGUUUGAUAAGGUGUUGUCUUUAGGAUGACUGAAAGCUAAAAAAACCAUUUUUACUUAUGGAACUCAACAAUGGUGGUCAAACCCUUUAACUUGUUUGGGCAUAGGCCAAUGUUGUUUUGUUUAGUUCCUUGUGUCACUGUUAAUUCAGUGUAUUUCUGGUAGUCUCUAAGACACACCUUGUGUUGUGUUGACUGCUUUGUUGGUUUGAUAAUAUAUCAUUUUAGCUUAUUAAAAAAAAAAAAAAAUUUAAAGCUCUCUGCAAAAGAGAAACUCAAAUUAUAAUUUCAAUCACGAUUUGCUGCACCGUCGAAGUUUGUGACUUCAUCUCAUCUAUUUCAACAUCAAUGUCUUCAUAUUGCAAGAUAUCAACAUUUAAAAUCUCCUCAUAAACAAUGGUUUUUAAUUUAGUAUAGGACACAAAUUUCAAAUGAGGAUUAUUAUUAGGUUUAAUAACAGUUUUGGUCUUUUAGGUAUCAGAAAGUUGUGAUUUUAGUCCUCUAACAAAAUAAAAUACAAUUCA
rnacentral:lncRNA from 1 species